AUGAUGAUCUCUGUUGUGAAGAAACAAGGGGAGGAUUGGCUAGAGCACAGGGCGAGCAGCUCAGAUAUCCAGGCCACAAAACGUUCAUGGACAUCACUCUGGAAAGUUAAGAUCCCUUGGAAGCUGCACAUUUUCGUGUGGAGAUUGGCUCAUACUUCCCUCCCGACGGGGUUGAUGAGGCAUGACAAGAAGAUGGCGGACAGUCCAGUCUGUUCUAUAUGCAAUUCAUCGACCGACUCAUGGCGGCAUUCACUUAUCAAUUGUCGGAUGGCAAGAUGCGUUUGGGCUCUCGGCGACGAAGAAACCCUGAAACAUGUGAUAUCGAACCAAACAGAAGACGCAAAUGUUUAG
rnacentral:rRNA from 1 species